GGUUAACCGAAUAGGGGAGCCGGAGGGAAACCGAGUCUUAAUUGGGCGUUAAGUUGCAGGGUAUAGACCCGAAACCCGGUGAUCUAGCCAUGGGCAGGUUGAAGGUUGGGUAACACUAACUGGAGGACCGAACCGACUAAUGUUGAAAAAUUAGCGGAUGACCUGUGGCUGGGGGUGAAAGGCCAAUCAAACCGGGAGAUAGCUGGUUCUCCCCGAAAGCUAUUUAGGUAGCGCCUCGUGAAUUCAUCUCCGGGGGUAGAGCACUGUUUCGGCUAGGGGGCCAUCCCGGCUUACCAACCCGAUGCAAACUGCGAAUACCGGAGAAUGUUAUCACGGGAGACACACGGCGGGUGCUAACGUCCGUCGUGAAGAGGGAAACAACCCAGACCGCCAGCUAAGGUCCCAAAGUCAUGGUUAAGUGGGAAACGAUGUGGGAAGGCCCAGACAGCCAGGAUGUUGGCUUAGAAGCAGCCAUCAUUUAAAGAAAGCGUAAUAGCUCACUGGUCGAGUCGGCCUGCGCGGAAGAUGUAACGGGGCUAAACCAUG
rnacentral:rRNA from 2 species